GGGGGCGAUCGGUUUCGACUGGGAGUAUCCUCGUGCCUGGUUGCGUGCCGAGGUUGCGGAGAUGGCCUCGUAAAUCCCUCCGCAAGGCAUUUACCUGCCGACAACAACUACGCACUCGCUGCUUAAUGCAGCGCGUCCCUUUGUUCUUCGCCCGCUGGGGCAAAGGGGCGACUGAUCGCGGGCUAGCCGAUGGUUCCUGGCCCGGGGACCUGAGGUAAAACUCAACGGGCUGGCGUGCGUCCUCGCUUGUUCUGGUGCCGGGCCGCUCGUGAGAUUCGAUCCGGAACUACGCACGUAGACGCCUUUCACGAGCCUCUGCAGGACGCGGGUUCGAUUCCCGCCGCCUCCACCA
rnacentral:tmRNA from 1 species